rnacentral:lncRNA from 1 species
UUUUGCAAAGGGUGUGCUUUUUUUAUUUUAUAAAUAUAUAUAUAUAUAUCUAUUUUUAUUAUAGGGGAUUGAAUCUCCUGUACAUGCUGUGUUGAAGUUGUGUGGAUUGGGUUAACGUUUCCUCUCUGGAUCCUUUGCCUACUCUCUACAUUUAAUUUUUUUUUCUUUCUUUCUUUAAAUGUAUAGUACAAGUUUUGAAUAGAGGAAAUUCCAUGUGCCAUAGGGCUUACGAAUGUGUCCAACGAGACUAGUUCAUAAAUGAACUCUGCAACUUUGCAAGUUAUAGGUUGGGGUAGCUUGUAACUUAUUCCUAGAAUCACUGCAUAGUCCAAGCACCUUUGCAUCCUUUUGUACAGGUUUUCACACAGCACAACCAUCUCUUUACUGUCUUGCUGGAAGAUACAUGUGUGGCUUCUCAUUUGCCCCUAUUUCUAUGUUAACCUGUUGCAAUUUGUAAAAUGAAAGACCGCAUCUUAUUCGUCUCAUUUUUCUUUACUUUUUUUUUCUUUUAUUAGAGAGUGAAUAAGUUUCUGCUUAUUUUUUUUACCUCAAUAUCACCUGUUUUUCUAUUUUCAAAAUUUCUUACUUGACAGAACAUUUCACCAUCUUAAUUGUAAAAUGAUCAAUUGGUAGUUCAAAAAUCUUAGUGAGGCUUCAUAACCUAUUGACCUAUUUUAACCAUAUUUUUGUUUUUCCACAGUGGCUUAAGCCCUCAAAACGACACAUGGGGGGGGGGUAUGUGCUGUGUUCAGCCAUUGUCAGAUCUUGCUCCAUUGGAGAGUAUAAUGUUUGUUGCCUUCGCAGAUCUGCGCCUGUGUUUGUUAACCCCAAUAUCUUCUAACAGAAGGGGCCUUCUAGUGUUUGUCUCUUGCACUACUGCUGCUUCUGCUUUGCCUGCAGACUCUUGCUGUGCCUUGGGGAUCAUUUACAUCCUGCCAUUACUGAUUAGUGACUUUGAUCUUUCAGUUUCUGUCUGUCUGCACCAUGGUUUAGCUUGGUGUAUAUAUAAUUUUUUUAACGUGUUUUGUGUUUGCUUUUUAUAGAGGGCGAUAUUACAAUAUGUACAGAUAUCCCUUCAAAAAAGUUUCUGAAUAUUGAUUUAGUAUUCAAAAGAAGAGUUAACAGCUAGGCAGCAGCUAAAGUCUUUGUUUUUAACCAUUUUUGGAUGCAUUUUACUCCAAAUAAGAUCUGUUAGUAAGACCUAUAUUAGUAGUUGCCUACCUAAGGGUUUAAUGUUAAGCAAAAUGUGUUAAGGUAUGAAUGGAUAUAGUCUUUUAAUUUGGGAAAAUAACAUGACUGCUCCAGAAUUUUAAUCCACUGCAUUUUGCAUGAAGGCGUCUUGGAUGAAUGUUUUUCUGACCAUGUAUGUGGUUUGAUGCUUGGCCAUGCACAUUGUUACUAUAUGGGUUUAGCGAAGUUGGUUGUAUGGCCAUUGACUCCCUGACUUUCAAUUAAUGUCAGAAUGUGGUCUGAUGGCAAUAGGCAGCUUGGGGAUUCUGUGCCUGUGUUCCAAUUCUAACAGAAUCAUUGACUUCUUAAAGUAGGCAAGAGUUUACAAAUUGCAGCCACUGUGCAUAAAGGGUAUAAUACAAGUACAAUUUAUUAAACACCAGGCUACAGCUUUGAUCUUCAACUUGGAAACAGAUACAGCACUCAGUCCUAAGCAUGUUUUACAGAGAUGGUGGGUCUUUCUUUAAAACCAAAUAUGGAAUGUAUAUUCAUGCCUAAAGACCCUAUUAACCUUUGAAAUUGCACAUAAUCAGAGAUUUAUUGAGAUUUUUUGUGAUCUGUUGAUAACCGGGUGUGAAGAGGAAGGUUGACUUUUACCACCAUAUUAAAUUCAGUUACUGCAUACUGUAGAGAUGUAAAACUCACUGAGGAAAGGAACUGUAGGAGACUUUUUUUAUAUAUUAUUUUUUCCUUUGUUUUUUUUUUUUCUUCUUUUCAUGAGACUAGUACAGGCUAUUAACAUAUAAUGCACUUGGCCAAGAGGAAAAUGUUAGUUUAUUUAAAGUUGCUCUGUCUUUAGUAGAAUGUAUAAUUUCAAACUUUCUUAAAGAGUGGCUGUAUAUAAUUUUAUGUUUUACUACAUUUUUUUUUUCUUUUUUUUUUUUUAAAUCUACCUCGUUUUUGUAGAGCCCAUCUGGGCGGAUAAAUGCAUGUGACUUAAUUCCCUGUCAGAGAGGGUCUUCCCAUAUCUUUGCCUUCCUCUCUGUUCUUCCUCUGAUAAUCCAGAACACACAUUGCCUGGUUGUAUUUUAUUUAUUUUUUGUUUUGAUAUGCCACAACCCUUUCCUCUAUAUCUUUGGCUUUUGUAGAGGGAGGAAAAAAACAAAACCGCACCAGAUUCCUGUUUGUUACGGACGAAGACAGUCCAGCAUGAGGAUUGGUUUGUUCUCUAAACUUUUUAAAUUACUGCACAAAUAGCCAUUUUCACUUAAAUGACAGGUUGCACAUCAUGCACAAUUGCAAGUCUGUUUCGUCUUUAUUGAUAUGCUACCAUGGUUGUACAAGACUAAGCAGAAUUCAUGUCUCAAACCAACUUUGGAGUGUUUAUUUUUAUUUUAUUUUUUAAAUUGUGUGUACAUCUACAUAAAAGGUGGUGGUGGAAUUUCACCAGUGCCUACUUAGUGUGAUUUUUAUUUUUUUUUAUUUUUUUUUAAUUAUUUUUUUUUUUGCUUGACUUGUACCCUUUUCAGUGGUAGUGUUGUGAAUUUGUCCAACCCCUCUGACGCACAUCGGGAUAUGUUGUAUGAAACCUUUAGAAGGCCAAAUAAUUACAGUUAAUGGAAAUUCUACUCUGAUGGCCCAUGGUAUUUCAUAUCUUUAGAUUGCCUAGCAUAAAAUCUGUGGCUCUAGAAUGAGGCGGGAAAAUGUUCUGUGUCGGAGUUGUACAAAAUCUGUGAAAGUUAAUGAUUCAGUGUCUUUGCUUUGGUAAUGUGGCUUUUGUGCACACUGUAAGGUGUUUAGUCAUCUCAUUUAUUUUUUUGUUUAUUUCAAAGGAGCCUGGAGCAUAUAAGGUAUCUUAAACUAUAAAAUGCUAUUUUAUAGUCUUUGGAUUGCUGCUGCGGUCUUUGAAGAGCAGUUAGUACAUUUACUCACACCAAUAGAAUAACAAUUGAUAAAUUGCACAGUGUUAUUUUUUGUGUUGUUCAUGUGUCUUUAAAAGUCAGAUUUGCAUCUUAUCCAUAUAAAUAGUGGAGGAAAAUAUCUUCUUUGAAUUAUAUAUUUUUCAUACCCAUGCUUGGCCUUUAACUACACACCUUGGCAGUGUGGAAUUGCAUGUUAAAAGGUUGCAUCUAUAGUGACUGUAUAGUACUGGUUACGUGUAAAGUGCUUUGCUGGCAGUAAGCUGUAAAAUGUGCAGUGGUGUACUGUAUGGAGUGUUUGGAAAAACUUACCUCCCUGUGAGACAAUUACUUGAGCACUUCUGACUGAUGUCAGUAUAUAUUAUCUGAGCCAUUCUGUGAUGUGCUUUUAUUUUUAUGGGUGCUUCUUCAAUCCAAUAACUAAUUGUUGACUAUUAUUUUUGUCUAAAUUUCCUGGCAAUGUAAGAAAUCAUCUGGUGUAUUUUUUCAUCUCCCCCUCCCCCUGAGUCUUUUCAGAUGUUGCCUAGAAUUAGUUAAAAUAACAAAAUAUAAAUAAAAUAAGCUUUACUGAUUGCAAACAAUUGUUUGAAAAUAAGACACGAAUGUGGGAAGUAACCUACUUUUAAUUUAAGCUUGGUGAAAUUGAAGACAAUAUAACACAAAGAUUUAAUAAUGAGGCAAUUCGAUGAGUGGAUUGGGGAAAUAUGCCAAAAUGUGAGGUAGUAUGCUUAGUGUGUAAUGAUUUAAAAUCACUCUGUAAAAGCUGCAGUAUUGGCUUGUAGGCAAGUCUUCAAUUAAGUCACACCAGGUCAGAAAAGAAAAUUUUGCAUUUUUUUGUAUCAGGUGUUCAUCUGAUGUAGAGAAGACAACCUUAAAUAUCCCUCUGUUGAGAACUGGUUUGAAAAACCUCGCUAUAAAGUAUAUCUUGUUUGGAGUUUAUAUAUUUUUACUGCUGUAGCAGCCUGCAGUGAUCUUAACCACUCUGGUCUGCUGAGUGAGCGACCUUUAUUUUUUUUUUUUUUUUUAAUACUUUCCGUUGUAUUUUUACUGUGAUUUUUACCAUGCUGAUUAUAAUGGUACAUGGAGGUCUUGCUGUUACAUAGCCAGUAACAGCCUUUGUAAAUGCAUCUGUGUUAUGUUAGCACUCUUACUGUUUGGCAGCCUGUUCUAAAUCUGUCUUAUUAAGGCGAAUGUAGCAUUGUGGAAUGUAAUCUAACUGGCCACAGUUAUCUUAUCCAGAUUUUUGGACAAAGAGCAACAUGAACAUUUGUUGCCCUGUGAAUUGCUGAUUCCUCACGUUCCAGAAAGUUGGUUUUACUGUUUGCUAUUACACUUUUUUUAUAGCACCACUUACGGACAGGUUUUGAAACACAGGUUCUUGUAAUAAAUGCAGAACACUGUAAGGAUACCAGUUGUAUUUUGUCAAAAAGUGUAAAUGCUUUAUGCAUCUUUUGUUCUCCUUUGUUUUUGUAAGAUUUCUAGGUGAGCCAUGUUUAAACUGUGACUUUUCCCCCCAACGAAAUAUGUUCAUGUUAAGGGGAUUUUGUGCAUUCAUAUUGACACUUUAAUUUUUAACCAUUUUUUGUUUUAUUUUUCUUAGAGGGAUACUAUAGGCUCCCAGAACACUUCAUCUAAUUGAAGUGAGCUGGGAGCAGUAUCCUUGUUCCCUUAACCCUGCAAUGUUUACAUUAAAGGGUUAAGACAGCCUUUAGUGGCUGUCUACCAGACAGCCACUAGAGUAGCUUCCUGUAGUUUGAUGGAGUUUGACUCUGUGAAAAGAUGCUGGAUGUCCUUGCGCAUUGUAGGAGUGCAUCCAGCAUGUUUAUUAACCCCAUAGGAAAGCAGAGUCAAUGCUUUCCUAUAGGGAAAGUCCCAUUAGGUUCCCCCCAUUGGCUGAUGUUGGCAGAGAAGGAGCUGGAUCAUGUAAGUGUUAAAAGUUUUUUGUUUUGUUUGUUUUUUAACCCUUUACAUAGCCACGGGGACAGAGGGUUCCUGUAGUGUUAGAAACAUAGCUUUCUAUUCCUAACACUAUAGUGUUCCUUAAAGGAGAGGGUUCUGUUAUAUUUAGGGGUGGGAGCAGAAAAUGCACACUGAAAAAAAAUCCACAAAUAAUGCCCAAAUAUUGCCCAUUGAGCAUUUGAGUGUUUCUGAUCAAUCAGUUUCUCUGCAAUCUAGCAAAACAUCAACUGCACAGAGAAACCAACUUUUUUUUUUUUUUUUUUUGUGGUAUCUGCAACCCUAGCAAGCAUAUUGAUGGGCCUUCCCAUUUCCUUAAAUUCUGAAAUACUUAAUGUUGAUAAAGUAUCCCAUGAAUACUGGCCAUUAUAAAUCUAGUCCACAACAGCUUGAAUGCCAAAGUUGUGUGUCUGUAGCUGAAAUGGGUAUUGCUUUCUACCACAGUUUUGUUUUUUUUCCACAGUAAUCACUUGAUCUGUUUGUGUGGUGUGAUAUAUAUAUAUAUAUAUAUAUAUAUAUAUAAUAUUUUGGUGUUUAUUUUCUUUUCAAUAUGUUUUAUUUUUUAAAAUGACAAUGUUGAAUCAGUUAAUGUUGUGGUGUUUCAUCCUUGAGAAUUGCAGGCUGUGCGUGUUCUGCAUUGAACUACCCGCUAAUCUCAGAAUGACGUACACAAUUUUGUUUUGUCAUCUCUAAACUGUGAAUAUGUUUUCUCCCUAGGGAUCUGUUCAGAAUGUUAUUGUUUUGUUUUUUGUUUUUUAUUUUUUCCAAACCUUUUCAUUCCUCUACUGCUAAAUACCAAAUUAGUAGCAAGCAUUGGAACAUUUAAAGAGCUGGAGAUAUUAUAUAUAUAUAUUUUUUUUUUUAAUUCUGUAGAAAUGAAACAUCCAGAUCUCUCCUUGCCUUUUAUUAUUUGAAAAGUCUGAACAGAUCCCUGCUUUAAAUUUACAAGUGGUUUGUGUUUUAUACAUAAUAUAUAUAUAUUCUUAUUACAAGUACUGUGUUUAUUUUUGAAAGUUGGUCUUUUUCUGCAAUACACUUAAGUUUAGAGACGCAGCAUGCACUUUUUGGGGGUAUUUUAGAAAACUAACAUUCCAUCAUUGGAAUUGUAAUAAUUGUUUAACUACAGGAGGGUCUUGUAAAGUUUGAAUUUAAAAAAUAAAAUCAUUAAACUGUCAUUAAUAAAUGUUCUUUUG